ensembl:snoRNA SNORD39 Small nucleolar RNA SNORD55/SNORD39
AGCGUAUGAUGACACCUUGGUAAUGCUGCAGACUCCCGAGUGUGCAGUGAAGAGGUAAACUUUGAAAAGUCACAUAUGUGAAAAAAAAUGCA